rnacentral:lncRNA from 1 species
UCCAACUCGACGGAAUAAAUCUAGCAAGAGAAAGAAAGGAUGAAAGAAAGACAUACGAAUUCCCUUCUAAAGGGGCCUAGGUAAUAGCCUAAAAAAAAUAAUCAGGAAUUGCUCCGGAGAUGCGUUCUUCGAACUCUUCAUCGGCAACCGAAGAAGAAGGAAGCUAAACAAUGGGUCUUUCUUUGCUCUUGAGUGUGGGGAGUUCGUCAACUUCAGUCUGCACUGCCUCUGGACUAAUGAUUCUUUCCUUCUUUGAGCUCCUGUUUUCUUUGCUUGCUCCUAUGAUAAAGGGAAGGGGAGAGGUGGGGUGAACGAAUCGGAUCUUAGAGAAGUCUCAGUCUUCGUCCACACCUAGGACAGGGAAGAAGGAUCCAUUUGAGAAUUUAGCUAGGGCUACUAUUUGAAUUAAGC